AUCAGUUUGGGGCAGAUUAAAUGAUGCAGCGACACGGGUAAUACACAGCUUCAAGGCUUUCUUUAGAGUUUGGCUUUAUUUUGAUAAACAUUAAGUUGCUUUGGAUUCUUGGGCAAAAGAAACAGGUAGAUAUAACACUGGCUAAGAGAGUUAUUCUGAGAGUUAUCAUAACAGAAAUGAAAGCAUAAAGACCAGAAAGAUGACUCUUUCACUUAUCCAGGUGUGCAAUAAGGAGAAAUCUAUACUGAGAUGCUUGAUGUGGAUUGAAAAACAUCUAAAAGCCAUUUCAGAGAAAGGAUCAGCAGGGUUAGUGAAUGACUGGCUUGGAGGAACUAAUGAGAUAAAGGUAAUGAUAAGAUUUCAAGCCCAGGGACCAGGAGGAUGAUGGAAUCACGGGCUGAGAUACAUAGAUUUAGGUAAUUAAAAACAUUGGAUUAGAUGGCUUUUUUCCUCCCAAGGGAAAAGAACAUGGGGCCAAGGACCAGGCUUUAAGUCAUGCCUGUAUUAGAGCGGUAGGAAAAAGAUGAGGGAGUAGAGGAAGGGGGGAAAGCAGAACCAUCAUAUUAUGGUGCCUGGACAAUCAGGGAGGGGGGUAGUUUUUGGAUAAGAAAAAAAGUAUUCUGUGAUAACAAAUACAGUUUUGUUUUGUUUUUCCAACAUGAGAAUUGUUUGAUAGAGAAGGUGAGGGCAAGAUAAAGAAAACUUGUUCAAAAGAGUCAGCAAUGGAAUUUCGGGUAGAAAUGGAAUGCUCAUUAAAGGUGAGAAGAGAAGUUCCUAGAUUUGUUCAUCUUGAAAUGGUUGCAAGAUAGAAACAGGCCAUGGGAGAGCAGAGAGUGAUGUUCCUGAUGAGGUAGAUGUGAGAGAUGCCUUUGAAGUACGUGCCAGUUGACAGCAUCUUUCAGGCGUGCUUGCCUGCCUUUAGGAUGAGCCCAGGACACCAUGUCUGGUCUGUGACCUCACCCUACUGGCUGAAAUAUAUUUUCAGAGAGAAGGAAUGGGCACCUGACUCAACCUAGGUCAAUCAUACUCUCCUUUUCUCAAAAUUCCUCAGGGAGCUGGAGAAAUGUGUCAUUUAUUUCUGUGGAUGAUCAGGAAUGUGGACACUUAACCAUAGGUUCUGAAGUUUUCCCUCUUCCUCUGGUUUUCUAUGUUUAAUUGUUACCUUUCCCACACAUUCUCUUCUUGGCUUACAAUCAGUUCAGAUCAGUCUCUCAGUCGUCUCCGACUCUUCACAACCCCAUGGAUGGCAGCAUGUCAGUCCUCCCUGUCCAUCACCAACUCCCGGCGUUUACUCAAACUCAUAUCCCUUGAGUCUGUGAUGCCAUCUAACCAUCUCAACUUCUGUCAUCCCCUUCUCCUCCUGCCUUCAAUCUUCCCCAGCAUCAGGGUAUUUUUCAAUGAGUCAUUUCUUCAAAUCAGGUGGCCAAAGUAUUGGAGUUUCAGCUUCAGCAUCAGUCUUCCAAUGAAUAUUCAAGACUGAUUUCCUUUAGGAUGGAUUGGUUGGAUCUCCUUGGAGUCCAAGGGACUCUCAAGAGUCUUCUCCAACACCACACUUCAAAAGCAUCAAUUCUUCGGUGCUCAGCUUUCUUUAUAGUCCAACUCUCACAUCCAUACACAACAACUGGAAAAACCAUAGCUUUGACAAGAC
ensembl:lncRNA